rnacentral:rRNA from 1 species
GACAGAGGGUGCAAGCGUUAUUCGGAAUUACUGGGCGUAAAGGGCAAGUAGGCGGUCUAAUAAGUUAGUAGUGAAAUCCGCAGGCUCAACCUGUGUGCUGCUAUUAAUACUGUUAGGCUAGAGAGAGGAAGAGGAAACGGAAUUCCUAGUGGAGAGGUAAAAUUCGUUGAUAUUAGGAGGAACAUCAAAGGCGAAGGCAGUUUUCUAGAACUCUUCUGACGCUGAAUUGCGAAAGCUUGGGGAGCAAACAGGG